rnacentral:rRNA from 1 species
AUGAAAACUCAGGUCGAGAUGCUGAAACCGGUGACUUUGGACGCAGCUAUGGACUUAGCAAUCUCCUUUGAGCACCUCAAUACUGUCACCAGCACCGUGACCACUCCAGGCCGGCCCAACCGUCCACUCCGCCCCAUGGCUGCACCUACUCCGGCCUUGCCGGACUCCUCCAACUCCACGCCCGCACUCGUCUUUAAACGACUCACGCCCGUCGAGAUGGAUGAACGGCGCGCUAAGGGUCUCUGCUUCAAUUGUGACGAGAAGUUCGCGCGGGGCCAUCGCUGCAAACGGCUGUUCUAUAUUCAAUCCGCCGACGCCGAAGAGGAGCAGUUUGAGGAUUUCCAGGAAGCACAAAUCUCACUCUUGGCUGUUACCGGAAUUCCCACCAGCGACACAAUGCAGGUCACUCUUCGCGUCGGGGACCGUGACUUGGUCGCCUUGCUUGAUUCAGGCAGCACUCAUAACUUUCUCCUCCAAUCGUCGUUUGGGAGUCACGGUCACUAA